UCGUCUUCUUAUUCUUGCCGAUCUCCCAAAUGGAAACCCUAUUUGAUCCUCCCCAUUUCCCGGCUCUUUCCGUGCGCCCACCCUCACCGCCAUGAGAAGGAGAUCGUUCCACUCCACUUCUGUCGCAUCUUCAUCUUCCCCCCACCUCGAUCCUCCUGCAAACCCUCACCCCCGCCAAACCCUAGAUCGGAUUCGGAUCCUAUGGCACCGAAUCCGUGCGCUCCUUGAAGUCCUGUUGGCACUCCUUAAAAUCGCUCUCGCAACGUAGGACAGAGGUCCAGCUAAAAGGGAGAUACCAAGGCCACAAAGAUGGAAUCAAUGAUGCCAGAAGCAUGUGAUGCAACCCCAGAAAGAUUAUGUGGCAGGAUUAUUGCUCUCCAUUUGUACACUCAGCUACCAACACAAAGGACUUUCGCUUUGCGUCCGAGGAUUGAUCGAAGGUAAGGAGCAUAAUUAUCUAAUCCAAUCUUUUCUGAUGGUGCUAUAAAGCUUCUUGUUGAUGGAAAUUGAUGCAAGCACACAGAGCCAUGUCUGAUCACAGGCAACAUGUACGAAUGCUUGCCAUGGUGGAAAUGAUAAUGCUGCAACUAUGUAUGAUUGCUGUGGAAUGGCUGUGUCGGCAGAGAGAGAGAGAGAGAGAGAGAGGAGUAAACCUGGUCUUUUAUUGCCUUGUGGUUGCUAGUUGACAAACGAGGACGGUGACGCAGGAAUAUGCUUGCACUCGCCGAGGAGUACGACGGCGAAUAAAAGCCGCGUCUGUGGGGUCAUUCGCCUCGGCGGGAGUUCCCUCCAGUCCGACCAAGAUGCGGCGCGGCUCACACGGGCGUGAGGAGAGUUGCGUCCGAGCAUGAAGACUUCGCUACUCUUUCUCUGUUGUUGCACUAACUCUUUUGUUUUGUGAAACAAAAAGAGAAUCAAUUGAUUCAACCCAUCGGGGCAGAAAAUGUUCUUCAAGGAGAGGUUAUUGGGCGUCUUGUCGAUGUCAGAUUGAGAUCGUCAGGAGGGCGAGAGCUUUUUUUCUUUGGAGGACAUCAUAAAGAUUACAGAGAAAACUUCGUAUUGAUUACGCUACUAGGAGGCCCAUUUUAUAUAGAGUUAAAGAUUCGGGAGAAUAGUUUUUCAUCUUGAUAUAGUAUUUUUCAUUUUGAUAUGAUAAAUC